rnacentral:rRNA from 1 species
UACGUAGGGUGCAAGCGUUAAUCGGAAUUACUGGGCGUAAAGCGUGCGCAGGCGGUGAUGUAAGACAGGUGUGAAAUCCCCGGGCUUAACCUGGGAACUGCAUUUGUGACUGCAUCGCUGGAGUGUGGCAGAGGGGGGUGGAAUUCCGCGUGUAGCAGUGAAAUGCGUAGAGAUGCGGAGGAACACCGAUGGCGAAGGCAGCCCCCUGGGCUGACACUGACGCUCAGGCACGAAAGCGUGGGGAGCAAACAGG